CACGUAGUCUUGCAACAUCGUGUUUCAUGAAUCAUGAUACAUCAAAAGAAAGCUUUCGACUUCAAUUUAUACUGUUUUUUUUGUGACUGUGGCUUAUAUUUUACUGUCCAGAACAAACACCAUGAAAGCAGUGCCAUGCUCUACCCUCCCGGGGGACAUGCCGGGCGAGGAGGUUGAGCAUGCUCAUUUACACGCCUGCCCAAAAACCGGGUUCAACUACGCCUAAAAUCUGGACAAGAUCUCAUUGGAACCAAUCCAAAUGGUUGACCCCGGACAUGGAGAUCCACCCCGGGACCGCAUCUGCGGUUAGGUGACAGAUUUUCAUAAAACUUAUGAUGAGGUGCCUCCAACAGGUUGGGAUUGCCUCAUCUACCAGAUUAAUCCGGACAAGGGUUGCCCAAUAUCAGCUAGGAUUCAGGAUGGACAGACCAUUGAGAAGAGGACGGUGCCACUAUUUACGAUUAAGAUGAGGGAAACCGCUAUAUCCGUUCCCGAGCCUUACCAUAAUGGCGCCCGUUCCCACAUAUCAGUUACAAAUACGGAUUGAUUUACAAAGUCUAGAACAUGUGCCCCUCCUCAAGCCCAGAAUUGGCGCCCAGGACUAUCAGCCAAUUGUCUUGCUAGAUCAUCAGCCUUAAGUGUUGAAGAGAGAGAGAUGGUUGCCAAGAGCCUGGAGGACCCUGGAUCGAGUCUUCAUGCUGACCGUUUGCCGGGGCUUUUGCCCACUUCGAGAGCGCGCGCUAGGUUGCGGCUAAAGGAGCUCGUGAUGAAAAGGACUUCUCUCCGUAAAAUGCAGAGAAUUCUCAUAGCGGUCGAUUGCUAACAUCACACACGUCACUUCCCCCCCCCCUUUACCAAAGAUGCAAUCCACAUUGAAGUAUCAAAGAACAUUUUUAUACGUCUUGGUUGAAAAGGUGGAAACAUUCGUGAGUUCGAUGGGUCUCUUCUCACGGGUACUUCGACGAGGAACUUGAGGUGUUGAAUUUUGAUGAGAGGGAGAAGAAGUUGUAGAGGAUACCGAAGGUGGGUUGGAAAUUGAGAAUGUAAAAUUGAGGAUAAAUUCCAGGGCGUAAGAAUAGUCUGUUUUACCAAUGAAUGCGACCACCAGGAGUUUUCCAAAUGAAGGUGUUCUCGUACAUUCCAAAAUGAGCGAAUCUGUUCUGGGAGGUCAGAUCGCUCCUCCGGAAAUCCAUUCACGAGCACAUUCAUCAAGCUCUGGCACUCCGGAUCGUUUUCAAUUUCCCAUCUCAAAUGAGCCAGCUUGAGAUGGGGAAAAUCAUCUUCAGCAUUACACUCCCCCACAUCGAACUCCACCAACGGCAAUCUCCACCAUGGUAAACUCCGCCAACGGGGAUCUCCGCCAGCCAAAAAACCCGCAACAUGCACUUCCGCCACAGAAGACCUCGCCAUGAUAAAGUCGCCGAUAUCUCAGCUCGCCAAUGAAGAUUUUUCCCCAAAAAGGAAAUCUGUUAAAGGAAGAUCUUUCUUCAUCUGAGGGAACUCUGCCAUGAUACACUCCCUACAUUGAAAUCUACAAUGAGAUUUCCAAGCAAUGAAAUACACUUUGCCAACAAUAUGCUCCUACAGAGGGACCUCCAACAGGGUCUUCAUUUUUUUUAUUGAACCUGAAAAUAAAUAUUGCAAGUCUGA